AGUGAACGCUGGCGGUAGGCCUAACACAUGCAAGUCGAACGGCAGCACAGUAAGAGCUUGCUCUUACGGGUGGCGAGUGGCGGACGGGUGAGGAAUACAUCGGAAUCUACUUUUUUGUGGGGGAUAACGUAGGGAAACUUACGCUAAUACCGCAUACGACCUACGGGUGAAAGCAGGGGAUCUUCGGACCUUGCGCGAUUGAAUGAGCCGAUGUCGGAUUAGCUAGUUGGCGGGGUAAAGGCCCACCAAGGCGACGAUCCGUAGCUGGUCUGAGAGGAUGAUCAGCCACACUGGAACUGAGACACGGUCCAGACUCCUACGGGAGGCAGCAGUGGGGAAUAUUGGACAGUGGGCGAAAGCCUGAUCCAGCCAUACCGCGUGGGUGAAGAAGGCCUUCGGGUUGUAAAGCCCUUUUGUUGGGAAAGAAAAGCAGCAGGUUAAUACCCCGCUGUUCUGACGGUACCCAAAGAAUAAGCACCGGCUAACUGCGU
rnacentral:rRNA from 1 species